GUCAAUUGCAACCGAGUGUGUGGAUGACUGGCACAUCGUACAGCCAAAUGAAAUUCUGAAAACAAUGAUAUACAGAUUUAGUAGGAAGUUUCAAAGCUACAACUAAGAAGUUCAUGUGUAAAGCUGGAUAACCAUUGCCAAAUGUUUGUGCGUCCGUGCGCAAAAGGUGAAAAGUGUGGUUUUGUGACUGUUGACGCUUCUGGAAGGUGAAUUAUGGUAUUACUGCUGACCUGUGGGAGAGGUGUGUGUGACUCUUUCAUUGUGUUCAUUUUCAACUGCUGAGAUGUGAGGCAGUGAGCUGUAAAAAGGGUCAAAGGUGCAGAUCAGCACUGGGCAUUGAAGGACAUCCCAGUUCCACCAGAGACCCAGAAGUGGUACAAGACGUUCUUUUAUCAUUUCAUGGACAUGGCAGUUGUGAACACCAUCCUCCUCCACAAAGACAUUGCAAAAUGUAAAGGAGAGGUACCUAUGCACCAGAAGGCAUUCAGAGAGACCCUUGCUGAGGAGCUGGAAGAGUUGGGGUCUCACUCCACAGCCAGACCCACGCAGAGCACAUCACAGGUCAGUGCAUAUCAGUGGACUCAGCCCCGCUGGUUGACUAGUGAAGUGCUCCUCUUGUGAUGUGUUUUGUCCCCAAACGUGACUGCUACAAUGGCUGGUAUGUUGCCAAAAACCUGUAAAAGGUAUAAUUGUAUGUAAAUAUGUUGUGUAAAAAAAGUAUGAAAAUAGUUUGGUGUGUAUUUCUUAUAUAAACUGCUUU